UCAGGCCUAACACAUGCAAGUCGAGCGCACCUUCGGGUGAGCGGCGGACGGGUGAGUAACGCGUGGGAAUAUGCCCUUCUCUACGGAAUAGCCUCGGGAAACUGAGAGUAAUACCGUAUACGCCCUUCGGGGGAAAGAUUUAUCGGUGAAGGAUUAGCCCGCGUUGGAUUAGGUAGUUGGUGCGGUAACGGCGCACCAAGCCGACGAUCCAUAGCUGGUUUGAGAGGAUGAUCAGCCACACUGGGACUGAGACACGGCCCAGACUCCUACGGGAGGCAGCAGUGGGGAAUCUUAGACAGUGGGGGAAACCCUGAUCUAGCCAUGCCGCGUGAGUGACGAAGGCCCUAGGGUCGUAAAGCUCUUUCAGCUGUGAAGAUAAUGACGGUAGCAGCAGAAGAAACCCCGGCUAACUCCGUGCCAGCAGCCGCGGUAAUACGGAGGGGGUUAGCGUUGUUCGGAAUUACUGGGCGUAAAGCGCGCGUAGGCGGAUUAGUAAGUUAGAGGUGAAAUCCCAGGGCUCAACCCUGGAACUGCCUUUAAUACUGCUAGUCUUGAGUUCGAGAGAGGUGAGUGGAAUUCCGAGUGUAGAGGUGAAAUUCGUAGAUAUUCGGAGGAACACCAGUGGCGAAGGCGGCUCACUGGCUCGAUACUGACGCUGAGGUGCGAAAGUGUGGGGAGCAAACAGGAUUAGAUACCCUGG
rnacentral:rRNA from 1 species